rfam:Heterocephalus glaber contig162314, whole genome shotgun sequence.
UAACAGGCUCUUUUCAGAGCCACCCACUAUACUAAACUAGCUGUUA